rnacentral:tRNA from 1 species
GCCGCCGUAGCUCAGCGGUUAGAUGUUAACUAAAGCGCCGGCCUGUGGAGCCGGAGGUCGCGGGUUCGAAUCCCGCCGGCGGCC